rnacentral:rRNA from 1 species
UACGUAGGGCGCAAGCGUUGUCCGGAAUUAUUGGGCGUAAAGAGCUCGUAGGCGGCUUGUCACGUCGGGUGUGAAAGCCCGGGGCUUAACCCCGGGUCUGCAUUCGAUACGGGCAGACUAGAGUGUGGUAGGGGAGACUGGAAUUCCUGGUGUAGCGGUGAAAUGCGCAGAUAUCAGGAGGAACACCGGUGGCGAAGGCGGUUCUCUGGGCCUUACCUGACGCUGAGGAGCGAAAGCAUGGGGAGCAAACAGG